rnacentral:rRNA from 1 species
AUACGUAGGGGGCGAGCGUUGUCCGGAAUGAUUGGGCGUAAAGGGCGCGUAGGCGGCCUGUUAAGUCUGGUGUGAAAGUCCUGUUUUCAAGAUGGGAAUUGCUUUGGAUACUGAUGGGCUUGAGUGCAGGAGAGGUUAUCGGAAUUCCCGGUGUAGCGGUGAAAUGCGUAGAGAUCGGGAGGAACACCAGUGGCGAAGGCGGGUAACUGGACGGCAACUGACGCUGAGGCGCGAAAGUGUGGGGAGCAAACAGGAGUAGAUACCCUGGUAGUCCACACUGUAAACGAUGAAUACUAGGUGUAGGGGGUAUCGACUCCCUCUGUGCCGCAGUUAACACAAUAAGUAUUCCGCCUGGGGAGUACGGCCGCAAGGUUGAAACUCAAAUGAAUUGACGGGG